GCCAGGUGUGGUGGCACACCUGUAAUCCCAGCAGCUUGGGAGGCUGAAGCAGGAGGAUCUUGAGUUCAAAGCCAGCCUCAGCAAAAGCAAGGUGCUAAGCAAUUCAGUGAGACCCUGUCUCUA
rnacentral:sRNA from 1 species